AUGAAAUCUCGUAGCGAGGUUCUCUCUAUAUACAAACGAUUUGCUGCCAUGGUUCACACCCAGUUUUCCACUCCUAUACGUACUUUUCGUGCUGACUCCGCUGGCGAGUAUAUCUCCCAACUGUUGCGUGGUUUUCUCGCGGAACAGGGUACUCUUGCCCAGUUCUCUUGUCCUGGUGCUCAUGCUCAAAAUGGCGUUGCGGAACGUAAGCAUCGUCAUUUGCUUGAGACGGCUCGUGUGCUGAUGAUUGCCGCUUCCCUUCCACCCCAUUUUUGGGCUAAGGCUGUUUCUGCAUCCACCUACCUCAUCAACAUUCAGCCAUCGACUGCCCUGCAGGGUGGUAUUCCUAUGGAGUGUCUCACUGGUCGUUCUCCUGACUACUCAGCUCUUCGUAUGUUUGUAUGUGUGUGCUAUGUCCUUGCCCCGCGAGAACGCACCAAACUGAUUGCUCGGUCGGUUGAGUGUGUUUUCCUUGGCUACAGUGAUGAGCACAAGGGCUAUCGCUGUUGGGAUCCUUUUGGUCGUCGCUUGCGCAUCUCGCGUGAUGUGACCUUUGACGAGUCUCGCCUCUUACUACCCACGUCCUUCUUCCUCGAGCUUCUCUGCGGACGGUAUUUCUUUUCUUCUCCUUCCCGAGACACCCUGCUAUGUGCCUCAUGUUUCACCUCUUCCUCCUGCACCUCUCAUUCAGUCUCAUUCACCACCGACACCAUCUUCCCCAUCCUCCUCCUCCACCUCUCCACCAUCAUCUCCAGUCCGUCGCCCUCUCUCACCGUUUCCUCUCCACUAUACUCGCCGCCCUCGUACUGA
rnacentral:rRNA from 1 species